ensembl:lncRNA
GGGAGCACUCGAAAGACUAUCAGAUGUCUGUCAGGUAAGCCAUGAAAAGAUGGAAUAAAUAAGUGGGGUGGGGGGCUUGAAGAGUUUUAAGUAGCCAAAUUUCCAGGAAUGAGGAAGGCAAAGCAUCCUGAGGUCCCUCAGAAUAUCUGUUCAUAGGAUCUGUGGGUUGGACUAAGCUCAUUCUGGAUCUGUGACAUUUCUUGUCCAGCACUGGCCAGUGUGGCCCACCUGUAGUAAGUCCUAUAGAUUGUAAAAUGCAUAAAAGUGGGCUCUGAGAUUAAACCAUUCUCAGCUCAGGGAUGUUUAAUUUGUUUCAGUUCUUUGGAUUCCCACAUUGCUCCUUUGGUGCUCAUGAGAAGAAAGAAAAAAAUAGCAGUUUGAUAACAGUUGGAGUCUGACUACCCAGGCUUUUUUAAAUUAUCAGUACUGAGGUCAAUGGUUGGGGCAAAGCUGGAGUUAGCGAGGCUCGUAGAAUUUCUUCUUUUGAUCUGCCUGGGUAUCUGUUGUUCCAGCAGUGCUCUCCAGCAAUCCUGUAAGGAAAGGAAAAGCUAUCCACGAACUCUUCAUCUAGUUGGUAGCAACCACCAGCAGCAGGAAGGAAGCCGCGCCACUGUCUGCUUUGAGGUUUUCUAGCAGAUAAAAUGAUGCUUUCUGUCCAUAACAUCAAGGAAUAUUGCCAUACAGGUUCAAAUGGCUCAUGUAGAGUUUACAUCUUUUACUUUUCACUGUUAGGGUUUGUUCAAAGAGCAGGAAAGGCAAUUAAAAAUAAUAAAAAACGUGCUGAGUCCUGUAAGGACACACAAGGAUUAACAUUCAUGGAGAUUUACCAGUGCAAAAUAUCCACCAAGUUAACCUGCCAGCUUUUGUCAUGGAGAAUGGAGGUACCAUCCUCUUCUUUCUGAUUACCCUUCAUAGAGCAAAACAAGUGCAUGUAAUAAAAACACAACUCUGUGAUCAUAUCACCCAAGACCCAAAUAUUUUAUAUUUUUUGUGCUUUCAUUUCCAUUUUCAUAUGUGAAAUUAACAGUUUGAAAAAUUCUUAAGCUGAUACAGCUUUCCUUCGCAUCAGUUAGACUUGCAAACAUCAUAGAAUUGUCUGGGGUGAAGAAUACAACUGCAGGGUCAUUGAGAUGUCAUCAGCAUCACUUUAGUGCCGAGAGAGCUCCUCCUGUAGUCUGGCGGAUUUUUCUUUCCUUUGUGCUAUCACAGGUUUUAUUUCUAUCUUAGCAGUGUCUCUUCCAGUAAGUAUGAAAAACUACUGGCUUGUGCUAGACCACUGCAUGAGUUCAUUACUAAAGCAAUGUUUCUGGCAUGGCACUUAGGCCUUCAUACAAUUUAUUCUGCAGGGUUUUUUUCCAAUUUUUAUCUUCAAGCCUACACCUGAGAGAAAUUUCAGCAACUUGAAGCUGUAAGAAGGGAUCACUAUGCUUUGUUUUAUUUUUAGCAUAUUCAUAUUGUUCAAACUUUUUGGUCUGCUACACCCAUAUAUCUCCCAGAAGAAUAUUGUUUUGAGAGGAAGAGAGUCAUUGAAAGUAGUCCAAUGGGACUGAAAUCACCGGCAUUUGUGAAGAUAAGUUACUUACCUAAGCCAGAAGUUUUAGCACAAGUUUCUACAAUUUACAAAUUUGCUGCUAUUUCUGUAGGGCUCAAUUUCAGGAUCCUUCUUCAGCCAGCUCAUUCUUGAAUUUUCCACUUUUUUUUUUCCACAUUCCCAAUCUGCUGCACCCCCAAUCCAUGUUUAUACCAGCCUUAGGUAGGUGUUGGCAAGUAUUUUAAUGACAGUGUAGAUGGUUUCCACAGUGCUGAGGUCUGGUUACAACUAUUAUGUAGGAAAAAAGAUAUCUCAGUAUCACUGGUUCCCUUAAACUGGCAAGAAAAAAUAAGAGAAAAACAAAUAGUUGGGCUGCUGGGAGAGAAGAGAGCAAGAGACUUAAGCCUUUAAUACCAUUACUACGAAAACAAGAUCAAGCUGCUUGGGAGCUGACACAUUACUACAGGUUGGUAGCCAUGCAUAAGAUGACAGUGGUGAUUGCGUGUGGCUCUGAAAGAAACAAUGAAUUUAGAAGACUUGACAUAGAUCAUUUCAUCUGAGGCCAUGGGUUUUGCUUUUCCCAUGCAUUUGAAUUGCCUUUCACAAAGCUAUCUUCCAGUAGCACGGUUCCCAAUGGACAAGCACUAACUAGGAUAACAAGUCAAUAAACACUCCCUUUCCUUCCAAACUCACUACAGGUCAUGUAGGCAUCAAUUACUCUGUUUCUCCAUUCUACAGCAGAGGGUCUAAAACCUGAAGAAGAUUAGCGCCAGAGUGAACUAAAUACCAAACGUGCCUUGCAGUGCUAGAAUCCCUAGGUUUUUAAGUGCCCAGCUGGAAGCAUUCAGGCCAAGAUUCAGCCCAUACGAUGUGGCAGCUGUCUGAAACCCACAGUGUUGGAGUUGGUCCCCUUAGUUUCCUUUGAUAGUUGAUCAAGCAAGCAGGACUUCUGCAGAGAGCAUUUCUGUUCACCUAAACCCUACAUGACCCCUUGCUCUCUGUCUACGAGGGAAGGUUACAGUGCUGAUGGUCCCCAAAUGGGUGCCUCAGGUGUAGACCUGCCCAAAGUAACAUGGGAAACAAAUUGUGCCAGUGAGCAUCAGUUUUAGAGCUACCACCUCUUCAGUUAAGAUUGCAGGCGUCAAAAUCCCCUGGAAGCUAAGCAGAAAGUGCUGCAAUACCAUAUACUCAAUAUUAGCUGACAAACUUGGAAACAACUAUCUACAUGAUGGAAAAUGUGUGGGUGGAUCAGCCAUGGUAGGGGAAUGAUUUGUGGAUUCUGGAGAUUGUGAUGCACGUUGUGGCAGACAGCUUGUGCUGACAGCCAGGAAAGCACUCAUUCUUAGCAUAAAGCUGGGGGCUUCAUGAUGGUUAAAAUAAUACCCCUGACAUUGCUGGUCAAGUUGUGCAGUGUUUGUUGCACUGCAUUAUCACUGUGCAUCUCUGCCAAAAGCAGAGGCAGCAUUUGCAAUGUGCCAGCCAGCACUUUUCCAAAAGUGCAGGUAAAAAAAUCCAUGAGAAAGAAGGAGAAAAAAAAAUCAAAACCCAAAACACAAGAACAGCCGUUCAUGUGUGUUUCUUCUUAAGAUUCAAACUUCAUUCCCUUUCUGUCAUGACCAAGGUGAUUCUACAUUCUCCAGGGGACAACUGGGAUGUCGUGACCUUUAGGGUGAACCGUGCAUGAAGCAAGGCUUGUAAUUUUCUUGCAAGGUUUGUGGCACUGAAGGGUUUUGAAUCUUCAGCUUACCACCCUGUCAGUACAUUAUCUGACUGGCUGGACUUCUAACUGAACUAAUACUGAACUCUUUGGCUUCUCUCCCCAGGUUGGGGAAAGAUCCUUAAGUAACAUUUCAGGAAAGAAAAAAGAAAAAUGUGUCUUUCCUUCUGCUGCCACAUCUCCCAAGCACCUCCCCCUCCUGGGUGAGACUGAGGCAACUUGCAUUUAACACAAACCACUUAGUUUACCUGUAUGCUUCAGUCCAUGUGUAAGUUUUCUAGGUGACAAUUUUAUCGGGGAAAAUGCUGUUUAGAUUGUGUGCACAAAAUAAAUGGCUUGUAAAUAUUAAAAAAAAAAAAAAGAAAAAAGUUAAUUUUCAGUUGUGCAAUAAAAUUGUGAAAUAAUCCUC